AGUCUUCUGCAGAGCUGCCAUUUUCGAGCUUGCUGAGAGAAGUAUCAGUACAACAUACAGAUCGAGAGCUCUUCAUAUCACUUGUCUGGAAUUUUGGCUCCCUUAUCAUUAAUUACGCAGCUGCUGUUGUUUUGGUACUAACAGGAAGUGCCUAAUUCCUUAAAAAUCUCCUUUGAUGUGUAAGAAACUGGGUUGGGUAAGCAAAGCUUUCUAAUCAUCUCCGGUGGAUAGAACAGAACAUUCUCUUGAGUGGCCGUCUCAGAGAGUAUGCCAGUAGUUUCCGAAGGUCAUCAACGACAGGCAAUUUGAAGAACUUCUAGCGGGACCGGAGAAAAUCACACAGAAGGCAUUAAAGAAUGUUGAUGAAAAUAUUCUUGGCAACUACAGAACACCAAACUACAUGUGGCUGGUUGACAACAUGCUUCAAGAAUACUAAACUAUGAAGUGCAACACGUCACUAAAAAUUCAUUUUGUGCAUUCCAAUUCAAACUUCUUCCCUGUAAAUCCUGGCGUUGUUAAUGGCGAGCAUGUGAAAGGUUUCACCAGGACAUUGAUCAUGGAGAAAUGAUAUCAGGGAAACAGAAAUCCAUCAAUACUGACUGAUUAUUGUCCAAUACUUAAGUGAGAAGCUUCAGGCACUGAGUACAAAUGAAAAUCAUCAACAAAGUAAUUUUAACUAUUGCCAAGUGUCAGCACUGUUAUGCAAUUAAACACAUUGUAUUCAAGAAAAGUUUCUCCAAAUUCCUAUGUGAUACAUGUAUUUUGAAAUUAUAUUUGUGUUCAGGUUCAAGUGGUCCAUCACAAACAAUAAAAAGUUCUGAGGAAGCAACACUUUCGAAAAAAAUUGUUGUCCUCUGUUACCAGGGCAACUGAUUGAGCUGGGCCUAGUGGUUCCAGAGACCAAGAUUCUGACCUCGGCUUGUAGCUGUACGGAACUUGUACAUUCUCCCUGUGACCACAUGAUUUUCCUCCUUCAUCCCAAAGAUAUGUGAGCUGGUCCGUUAAUCGGCUUUUGUAACUUCUAAUGUGCAGGAGAGGGACUAGGUUCAGAUUUAUUUAUCGCAUGUGCAUCGAAAAAUAGAGUGAAAUGGUUGUGUGCAUUAACAACAAACACACCCAGUGAUGUGCUCAGAACAGCUCACAAGUGUUGCCACGCAUUUUGGCACCAAUGUAGCAUUCCAACAAUGCUCAGCAGAGCAGUACAGAACAUAACACGACAGAAAACAGCAAGCAACAACUGUGAAACAAGCAUCAUUCCUCCCAGAUCCAUCGACCCACGUACACUGCCCCCACCCCCAGGGCAAGGGGUCUUCUUCGGCCUCCAGUGGACUCCUGGAUUUGCAGACUGUUGUGUGUUUCAUAUUUCAGUUAAUAUCUGAGUAAUCUUGUAUAUAUGUUAGUUGAUUAAGCAUUCUUUCUGGUUUAAAUAAUUCAUUAUGAGUUAUAUGUAAAAAUGUAUUAAUUGCAUAUGUCAUCACACAUGACACUUGCGUGCACCUCACUUAAAGUAAAGAUGAAGCUAUUCCCGCA